CGUAUCCCCACUGGAGAGAGGCCAAGCGCAGAGCACGGCGCACGGUCCACCGAAGGAGCAACCCGCAGUCAGCCUGCCGCUUAUGGCAGGGCACGGCCCGGCGAAUCUCUCAGGUAAAGCGGACAGCGGGGGCAGC
rnacentral:ncRNA from 2 species